AUGGCUUCAAAAUCUCUUAUCAGAAAUGGAGUUGCAUUGUUGAAUCGAUUAUCACUAUCGAAUUCAAAAUCACUUCUCAAUUCCAAUCACCAUCAACCUUACCUUUUCCCAUCCCUCUCCAAGCUCCAGAAUUUUCCUCAAAACGACGCCGAAUCAGUGAAGAGCCUUAUUUCCAACGAAGGGUUUCUCUACCCAUGUGGCCUCCCUUCUCUUCGCUUCUUCUUACCCAAUGGGGAUACUUCUUCUGAUGAGCCAAUGAUUUUAUUCCCAAAAAGGACAUUUCAACCUAGCAUUAUCCGCAGAAAGAGGAAUCAUGGUUUUUUUGCUCGGAAGGCAACCAAGGGUGGCAGAAAGGUAAUUGCUCGAAGAGUAGCAAAGGGUCGGUUUAGGAUUACAGCUUAG